rnacentral:rRNA from 1 species
AGUGAACGCUGGCGGUAGGCCUAACACGUGCAAGUCGAACGGCAGCACAGUAAGAGCUUGCUCUUACGGGUGGCGAGUGGCGGACGGGUGAGGAAUACAUCGGGAUCUACUUUUUCGUGGGGGAUAACGUAGGGAAACUUACGCUAAUACCGCAUACGACCUACGGGUGAAAGCAGGGGAUCUUCGGACCUUGCGCGAUUGAAUGAGCCGAUGUCGGAUUAGCUAGUUGGCGGGGUAAAGGCCCACCAAGGCGACGAUCCGUAGCUGGUCUGAGAGGAUGAUCAGCCACACUGGAACUGAGACACGGUCCAGACUCCUACGGGAGGCAGCAGUGGGGAAUAUUGGACAAUGGGCGCAAGCCUGAUCCAGCCAUACCGCGUGGGUGAAGAAGGCCUUCGGGUUGUAAAGCCCUUUUGUUGGGAAAGAAAAGCAGCAGGUUAAUACCCCGCUGUUCUGACGGUACCCAAAGAAUAAGCACCGGCUAACUUCGUG